UCCCUGGUGGCCCAGUGGUCAGGACCCUGCACUUUUAAUGCCGGGGCCCAGGUUCAAUACCUGGUCGGGGAA